UACGUAGGGGGCAAGCGUUGUCCGGAAUCAUUGGGCGUAAAGAGCGCGUAGGCGGUCCGGUAAGUCCGCUCUGAAAGUCCGGGGCUCAACCUCGAGACGCCGGUGGAAACCAUCAGGCUAGAGUCCGGAAGACGGAGAGUGGAAUUCCUGGUGUAGCGGUGAAAUGCGCAGAUAUCAGGAAGAACACCCGUGGCUAAGGCGGCUCUCUAGUACGGUACUGACGCUGAGACGCGAAAGCGUGGGGAGCGAACAGG
rnacentral:rRNA from 1 species